UCUACAUGAUCCCUUACAUAAUAUGUUUGAGAGAGAGAGAGAGAGAGAGAGAGAGUGUUUCUCUCCUCACUCUCUCUGUGCUCUCGUCUGCUGCGGUUAUCAUGGACAAGCAGUCUUCAUAUCAGCAGCUUGCCUCCUAAACGGACGUGACAAAAGAGUGGUGUGGACUGGGCUUCUGAAAGCACCGGGCCUACAUGCCUCAUACUUUCAACAGACUCUUCAUCCUUCAGACAGGCACAUCACAAACUGGACUUGGAGCUGUUCUUUCACAGACAUUACGAGGUGACAGAGUGAACUGACAUCAGGAAAGCGUCAUGAGCACUGAAAAAGAGCGCAGCGUCCUGAAUGAUGCUGAUGAGGAGAAGGAGGUGAAGGAUGAGAAGCCGGCUGUGAAGGAGGAGCUGUCGGAGGAGCAGGAGCUGGAGGAGCUGAGGGCUCAGGUGCUGCAGCUCCUGCUUGAGCUGGAAGAAGCUCGAGACACGGCUCAGAAACACGAGGAGAGCUUUCUGGAGCUG